UACGAAGGGGGCUAGCGUUGCUCGGAAUCACUGGGCGUAAAGCGCACGUAGGCGGAUUGUUAAGUCAGGGGUGAAAUCCUGGAGCUCAACUCCAGAACUGCCUUUGAUACUGGCGAUCUUGAGUCCGGGAGAGGUGAGUGGAACUGCGAGUGUAGAGGUGAAAUUCGUAGAUACUCGCAAGAACACCAGUGGCGAAGGCGGCUCACUGGCCCGGUACUGACGCUGAGGUGCGAAAGCGUGGGGAGCAAACAGG
rnacentral:rRNA from 1 species